CAACCCACCCCAGUUCACGCCCGCCGGCCAGAUAAAACCCAGCGCCGCCCACUGAUCGGAGCAGCCACCGUAUCCCCGCCACCACCAAGCAGAUGGCGAACCCGAACCCGAACCCCAACCCCAACGCCAACCCGGACGCGAACCCCAACCCCAACCCGGACGCGAACCCCAACCCCAACCCCAACCCCGACGGCGUUCCCCCCGAGGAGCCGAGGAGCCGACGAUCCCCAUGAAGUGCUGGAAAUGCGGGAGGAGUCUCGCCCUGACGAGUGCUGACUGGGCCACCCACCUCGCCGCGUGCAAGGGCGGGAAGCGCAAGGGUCCGGAUGGCGACGGGUACCACAAGAAGCCAAAGGCCCGCGGCAUCAAGCACGGCAACCUGAUCUGAUGACAGAUCAGGCAAGGAGGACUCGAAUGGGAGAGAAGAACUGAAGAAACAAGAGGACUAAGGCAUGGAAUGGGCAUGGAAGAGAACUGAACAAAAAAAGUCUAGGGGCAUAAAUAUAUAUUGUAAACUGUUAUAUACUCUUCUGAACCUUACUAUCUAGCUACUACGUACUGCAUAUUAUGCUUUGUGGAAUCGAUCUAUUGAGACAAUCACGAGGAUCAUAGUAAAAAGAGGGUGAUUCUAAAAGUUGAUUUUGAGCUGUCA